rnacentral:lncRNA from 10 species
AAUUGGGAUUCUGCCUUUGGGGAAGUGCUUCCUUUCAGGGACUAGAGAGGAAGAAGAGGAUUUAUCUGACUCAACUGGAGAUGGCUCCCUUCCCUUAUUUAUUGUUGCAUCCUGAAGCUUCCCCCAUGCUGGGCUCAGUGUGAACAAACAGCGCGGGAGAAUGCAACCACUGCAGAGGCAUAUGUUUGAGAUACCUGGCCACUGGAGGUCAUCUCGUCUACUAUAUUCACCGCAGAUAAAGAAUGAAAAGAGAAUACACAACCUUGUGAUUGCUAGCAGUGAAAGCUCAGAGUUAUGACAUAACAGAAUUGGCUCAUGUGACUAUGGAGGCUGAGAUGUCCCAAGAGCUGGAUACCCAGGAGAAGCAAAGAUUGGUUGGAAAGAACCCAAGGGGACAUGGGCACAGCAUCCCUUCCUGGGCCUCUUCCUCAGGUGGUGCGGGUGGGAAAUCAGGAAGCUCCCAGACAUGGAGCAACUCAGGUGAUCAUGGAACAGAGAGACGGAGUCUCGCCCUGUCACCCAGGCAGGAGUGCAAUUGUGCAAUCUUGGCUCACUGCAACCUCUGCCUCCCGGGUUCAAGUGAUUCUCCUGCCUCAGCCUCCGGAGUAGCUGG